AUGUCCGGAUCUAGCCUUCAAGGCCGAUGGGUGCCUUCCUCCGUCACGGAAGAAGACAUCAAAAAGUUGAGGGAGGCCAGAUAUCUGACCGCCGAGAUUUUGCAUCGGCUGCCUGCCCGAGGGCAGGCCGUCCCCUCCCCCGAACCCAACGAGAACGUCGUGUUCGUCUCCCACUUCCUCCGAGGUCUAGGCCUUGCUCUGGAUCCUUUUGUUAGGGGUUUGAUGUUUUAUUACGGGCUAGAUUUCCAUGAUCUAGCUCCGGACUCCUUUCUUCAUAUCAUGACAUUUAUUGUCGUGUGUGAGGCCUUCCUCCGGGUUACCCCUCACUUUGGCCUGUGUCUCAAGAUCUUUGAAGUAAAGCCGAAGAUGAUCGAGGGGCAACAUGCAGCGUGUGGAGGUGCCUCAAUAUGCAAGAUGACGGGAGCUCCAUGGCCCAAAGGUUCCAUUCCAGAGGUGUCUGAAUUGUGGCAACAGGAGUGGUUCUACAUCAUGACUCCUAGAAGUGCCAAGUGGGCGGCCAUCCCUGUUUUCUGCUCGGUCCCUCCACCACAACUGAUGUCAUGGAUCAGCAGAGGUCUGAGCUGGGUUCCAGCCAAGGACGUGCCUAUACUCCAAAGCCGCAUUCGAGAUCUCUUCAAUGGAGAUUUUAGUUUGGUUGCGGUAAUACAAGUUAUGCUGGUUCGUCAAGUCCAGCCUUGCAAACGCCGGCCCCUUCGCUUGUGGGAGUUCAAUCCCGAGGGACCGCUUUAA
rnacentral:rRNA from 1 species